UACGAAGGGGGCUAGCGUUGUUCGGAAUUACUGGGCGUAAAGCGCGCGCAGGCGGUUUCUCAAGUCAGUGGUGAAAGUCCGGGGCUCAACCUCGGAUCGGCCGUGGCGACUCGUGGGCUGGAGCACUGUAGAGGCGGGUGGAAUUCCGGGUGUAGCGGUGGAAUGCGUAGAGAUCCGGAAGAACACCAGUGGCGAAGGCGGCCCGCUGGGCAGUGGCUGACGCUGAGGCGCGACAGCGUGGGGAGCAAACAGG
rnacentral:rRNA from 1 species